AUGAUCAAGGUAAAUCAAAUAAGGUGGAGCAUUACCGAGUGUGUCUCGAUACGUCACACGCUUCACCACCCAAUCAGCGUUAAGCCUAUAUCCUCCUUCAGGUGGAAACUUUGGGUUAUGAAGGUCAUCUUCAUAAACAGCAAGAAUUGUACGGCAAAGACGAGGAAUAGGUUCAAAUUCAUCAUAGGUUGCUGGAGGCCACGUGGCACUGUCAUCAUUGCCUAUGUAAGUACAACGUUUCCACACCCAACGCAUACAUCCUAAAACCACAACACACUCAAAUCCACA
rnacentral:misc_RNA from 1 species